rnacentral:rRNA from 1 species
GACGAACGCUGGCGGCGUGCCUAAUACAUGCAAGUAGAACGCUGAAGGAGGGGCUUGCUUCUCUGCAUGAGUGGCGAACGGGUGAGUAACGCGUAGGUAACCUGCCUGUGAGCUUGGGAUAACUAUUGGAAACGAGAGCUAAUACCGCAUAAGAGUAGAUGUUGCAUGACAUUGGCUUAAAAGUUGCAAUGGCAUCACUACGAGAUGGACCUGCGUUGUAUUAGGUAGUUGGUGGGGUAACGGCUCACCAAGGCGACGAUACAUAGCAGAAGGGAGAGGGGGAUUGGCCAGCCUGGGACGGAGACCGGCCACAGAGGCCUAGGGGAGGCAGCCGUAGUGAAUCGUCGGCAAUGGACGGAAGUCUGACCGAGCAACGCGGAGUGAGUGAAGAAGGUUUUCGGAUCGUAAAGCUCUGUUGUCAGAGAAGAACGAGUGUGAGAGUGGAAAGUUCACACUGUGACGGUAUCUUAUAAGAAAGGGACGGCUAACUACGUG